rnacentral:rRNA from 1 species
GAUGAACGCUAGCGGCAGGCUUAAUACAUGCAAGUCGUGGGGCAGCAGGUCUGUAGCAAUACAGAUGCUGGCGACCGGCAAACGGGUGCGGAACACGUACACAACCUUCCUUUAAGUGGGAAUAGCCCAGAGAAAUUUGGAUUAAUACCCCGUAACAUAAUGAAGUGGCAUCACUUUAUUAUUAUAGCUCCGGCGCUUAAAGAUGGGUGUGCGGCUGAUUAGAUAGUUGGCGGGGUAACGGCCCACCAAGUCGACGAUCAGUAACUGGUGUGAGAGCACGACCAGUCACACGGGCACUGAGACACGGGCCCGACUCCUACGGGAGGCAGCAGUAAGGAAUAUUGGUCAAUGGACGCAAGUCUGAACCAGCCAUGCCGCGUGGAGGAUGAAGGUCCUCUGGAUUGUAAACUUCUUUUAUUUGGGAAGAAAUCUAUCUUUUCUUGGAUAGUUGACGGUACCAGAUGAAUAAGCACCGGCUAACUCCGUGCCAGCAGCCGCGGUAACAC